AAAAAAUCUGUCGUCAAGGACGUCGUCCCGACCCUCUCUCUCUACCGCUCUGCUUCCGCCCUUGAAGUUCGUCUCAAAGAGUUUUAGAUCUUCGCCCUGGAUUGCCUCCGAGCACAGGACACUCAUAGAAGCAAAGUUCCGUAAGUGAAAGAGGCAGUCCCUCCGCUGGAAUGGAUGCUAGCUUUGGACAAUCCCAGAGUUCCAGAGAUUCAAGGGAGGAUAGGAAUUGAAAGCCCUUGCUGCUCGGUUUCUUCAGAUUUGGGAAGCCACCAAUUGAGAGUUCAGUGAGAGAUUUGAGGAGCAGCGUCUCCAUCCGGACCAUGUCCGGUGGAAACGAUACCGUAUCCAGGUCUUCACCACCAAUCCACAAGUAUCUAAGAGAGAAAAUCGCACAAGGAAGCAAGUAAACAAAGAUGGUCCUGCUUUACUCCCAGAAGAACAUAAGGUAUCAGCAAAGCAAGGAUACUUGUCUUUUGCUGUGCUUCCGUGUAUUCUACAUUUGGGAUUUAUGGCAGCCACCGCAUUUUUUGUCAUGCAUGUGCAGGUUGCUACUCGUUUCUUAUCCUUCAGCCCUCCCCUCUAUUGGUUUGCGUCGUAUAUAAUGAAAUCUCAUGGUACUGGUAAGCGAUGGGGAUAUAUAGUUUGGGCAUACUCUGCUGCGUACAUUCUUCUAGGCAGUUUGCUCUUUUCGAACUUCUAUCCUUUCACUUGAUACUGUACAGCGAGGAGUCUCAGCUGAAAGCUUUUCUAUCGAAGAGUUUGUGCCUUUCACAAUGUCUCAUAUUGAAUUUGCAUACUGAAGGAUAUUCUUCUAUUGUUUGGGGAGUCCCACGGCUUAAUAUCUUUAGUUGCUUGCCUCUGUGUAUAAGCAUCGUGCCACUGUCGGUU